rnacentral:rRNA from 1 species
GCUGGCGGCGUGCUUAACACAUGCAAGUCGAACGGAAAGGCCCUGCUUUUGUGGGGUGCUCGAGUGGCGAACGGGUGAGUAACACGUGAGUAACCUGCCCUUGACUUUGGGAUAACUUCAGGAAACUGGGGCUAAUACCGGAUAGGAGCUCCUGCCGCAUGGUGGGGGUUGGAAAGUUUCGGCGGUUGGGGAUGGACUCGCGGCUUAUCAGCUUGUUGGUGGGGUAGUGGCUUACCAAGGCUUUGACGGGUAGCCGGCCUGAGAGGGUGACCGGCCACAUCGGGACUGAGAUACGGCCCAGACUCCUACGGGAGGCAGCAGUGGGGAAUAUUGCACAAUGGGCGGAAGCCUGAUGCAGCAACGCCGCGUGCGGGAUGACGGCCUUCGGGUUGUAAACCGCUUUCGCCUGUGACGAAGCGUGAGUGACGGUAAUGGGUAAAGAAGCACCGGCUAACUACGUGCCAGCAGCCGCGGUGAUACGUAGGGUGCGAGCGUUGUCCGGAUUUAUUGGGCGUAAAGGGCUCGUAGGUGGUUGAUCGCGUCGGAAGUGUAAUCUUGGGGCUUAACCCUGAGCGUGCUUUCGAUACGGGUUGACUUGAGGAAGGUAGGGGAGAAUGGAAUUCCUGGUGGAGCGGUGGAAUGCGCAGAUAUCAGGAGGAACACCAGUGGCGAAGGCGGUUCUCUGGGCCUUUCCUGACGCUGAGGAGCGAAAGCGUGGGGAGCGAACAGGCUUAGAUACCCUGGUAGUCCACGCUGUAAACGGUGGGUACUAGGUGUGGGGUCCAUUCCACGGGUUCCGUGCCGUAGCUAACGCUUUAAGUACCCCGCCUGGGGAGUACGGCCGCAAGGCUAAAACUCAAAGGAAUUGACGGGGCCCCGCACAAGCGGCGGAGCAUGCGGAUUAAUUCGAUGCAACGCGUAGAACCUUACCUGGGUUUGACAUGGAUCGGGAGUGCUCAGAGAUGGGUGUGCCUCUUUUGGGGUCGGUUCACAGGUGGUGCAUGGCUGUCGUCAGCUCGUGUCGUGAGAUGUUGGGUUAAGUCCCGCAACGAGCGCAACCCUUGUUCACUGUUGCCAGCACGUUAUGGUGGGGACUCAGUGGAGACCGCCGGGGUCAACUCGGAGGAAGGUGGGGAUGACGUCAAGUCAUCAUGCCCCUUAUGUCCAGGGCUUCACGCAUGCUACAAUGGCUGGUACAGAGAGUGGCGAGCCUGUGAGGGUGAGCGAAUCUCGGAAAGCCGGUCUCAGUUCGGAUUGGGGUCUGCAACUCGACCUCAUGAAGUCGGAGUCGCUAGUAAUCGCAGAUCAGCAACGCUGCGGUGAAUACGUUCCCGGGGCUUGUACACACCGCCCGUCAAGUCAUGAAAGUUGGUAACACCCGAAGCCGGUGGCCUAACCGUUGUGGGGGAGCCGUCGAAGGUGGGACUGGUGAUUAGG